GGGAGACGAGUGCUGUUCCCCAAAAAGCUAGGCUGCCAUCUCCGAGCCCUCGGGGCGCCUUCUCGCCAUGGCGUCCGGCGAAUCCCAGAAACAUCUCCUCUCGCUGAUCCGCAAUUUCGCCUCGGAGAAAUCCCAAGAAGAGCUUAGGGUGUCCGAUCGUAAGAAGCGGCUCCUCGAACUUCAGAACGAUCUCAAUGUUGCAAAUGCCGACCUCGAUGGGGCCAAGCGGUCCAGGGAGAUGGUCGAGCAGGAGCUGAGGGGAUCGCAGGUUCAGCUUUCUAUGAUUGGUGCAUCAAUCCAUGCGCAAGAGGCGAGGAUUUCUCUAAUGCAGGAGGAGAUAUUGAAGCUCCGUUCUGAUCUGGAUACACUCAAGAGUGAAGUGCGUUUCAUGCGAGACGAAUUUGUUAACAGUAUGUGCGAGCUGAACAAGAAAAUAAGGCUUUCUAAAAGGUCUUGAAGAUAACAUUACAUGCCUCAGCACUCAGAUGCAUGAGUUGGAAGCAGAGUACGAAAAAGAAAGACAUAAUCGUGAUAAGGUUUGUGAACAGCUUGCCCAUGUUGAAAGGAGAUGGUUUCUUGUGAUGGCCAUCAUGGAAGAAAUGAAGCAGCUGCAGGAACUAGCUGAAUAUCCUUCUUGGUUUGGUUUUAUGAUUAUGCUAACAUGCACAGCAAGCGUAUGCAGCAUGUUCUAUAUACAACAUGCAGUAGUGCCUAUCAACCUGAUGAUAACUCAACCAUAGGAAGAGGGAGAGGCCGCUACAUAUUUCAGAAUGUUUCCCUAACUAUAAAAAGCAGACAUCUGAGUUGGAGAAGGUAUAUGCUUCUCUUGGGGAGGACUUGCAGAAGAGGUGCACAUGUCCAGGCUGUGGAUCAAACAACAUUGAAGACGGAGGGAACUGAAGCCACCUGAGGUAUGUCUUAUCCAGUAUCUGCAAUUCUAGAUACAAGACAUAGGUAAGACCAUGAAGCCAUUGGCAAAUAUUGCGGCUUGCACAGCACAUCUUUGAAUGAUCAUGUCCGGUUUCUUAUAAAAAUAGAAACGAUGCUACCUUAAACGGAUGCAAUUUAACUUCGAAGCAGACUUGUGCCAGAAGGAUGAUAUAUGUUACAUCUUGCUAAGAGGAAAAGUCUGAACAUAUACAGCUUAGAUUGGCUUACACACAAAACCUUGCAUAUUACCAAGUUUCUUUUUGUUUGUUUGAGUGGAAAGGGGAUGAUUCAGGUCUCCAAUAUUUUCUAUAGUUGACCUCGCUAAUCUGCAAAUUUUGAAUUUAAUGUAAAAUGGAAUGGCUAAUGAUAACGAGAAUUAUUGUUUUACAAGUAAUAAGUGUUCCAUUAUAAUGUUUAAUGUAGAGUAGCAGAUAAUGCUUAAGGAAAAAGAGACUUUUUUUUAUUUUGACAAAAGAUAAGUGUUGAAGGUGAGAUUUUAAGCUUUAAGACGUGUGAGAUUACUGUUUGCUGUUGGUGACAGAUUUUUUUUUUUUUUUGGGGGGUUCAUAAAGCAAAAGCUAUAUUAAUUCAAAAUACAAAAUGCUAAACAGUUGCUAAGGAUAAUUGCCCUUUCAAAGCUGAAAGCCAUAAAAAAAAGGGAUUGUAUCUAUUAAUUGAGGUGUAUUCCACGUGGAGCUGCAGCGAAUUAAGUUGCCGGCAGAGUUGUCUACGUGUAUAAAACCUUCUAGCUUUAGUAUUUAUACUUAUCCCUCCGUGUUUAGGUUUAGUUUAUAUACUCUUA